UCCGGCUUAUCACCGGCGGUUUCCUUAGAGUGCUCAACUAAAUGGUCGCAACUAAGGACGAGGGUUGCGCUCGUUGCGGGACUUAACCCAACACCUCACGGCACGAGCUGACGACAGCCAUGCAGCAUCUGUGACGCCGCCCCGAAGGGAAGCGGGCUUUCACCCGCGGUCGGCGCCAUGUCAAACCCAGGUAAGGUUCUUCGCGUUGCAUCGAAUUAAAGAACUUGCUCCGCUGCUUGUGCGGGCCCCCGUCAAUUCUUUUGAGUUUUAGCCUUGCGGCCGUACUCCCCAGGCGGAACACUUAUCGCGUUGGCUGCGGCACAGAGGGAUUCGACUCCCCCCACACCUAGUGUUCAUCGUUUACGGCUAGGACUAC
rnacentral:misc_RNA from 1 species